rnacentral:misc_RNA from 1 species
UGGCUCUCGCAUCGAUGAAGAACGCAGCGAAAUGCGAUAAGUAAUGUGAAUUGCAGAAUUCAGUGAAUCAUCGAAUCUUUGAACGCAACUUGCGCCCCUUGGCAUUCCGAGGGGCACGCCUGUUUGAGUGUCGUGAAUUCCUCCACCCCAUCUCUUUUUUUGAGAUGAGGCUGGGACUUGGGAGCUUGCGGGUCCUUCUCGAAGGUCCGCUCUCCUUGAAUGCAUUAGUGAGGACCCUUCGGGCCUUGGUGUGAUAAUUAUCUACGCCGCUGUCUCGAGGCUGGACCUUGCUUCCAACCGUCUUAGGACAACAUUUCUUACUUGACCUCAAAUCAGGCGGGACUACCCGCUGA